GACGAACGCUGGCGGCGUGCUUAACACAUGCAAGUCGAACGGGCCUUGUCCCCUUUUUUUUGGGGGUGGGGUUAGUGGCGAACGGGUGAGUAACACGUGAGUAACCUGCCCCUCACUUCUGGAUAACCGCUUGAAAGGGUGGCUAAUACGGGGUGUUCUGGCCUGCUCGCAUGGGUGGGUUUGGAAAGAUUCGACCGGUUUGGUUGGUUUGGUGGGGGAUGGGCUCGCGGCCUAUCAGCUUGUUGGUGGGGUGAUGGCCUGCCAAGGCUUUGACGGGUAGCCGGCCUGAGAGGGUGGGCGGUCACACUGGGACUGAGACACGGCCCAGACUCCUACGGGAGGCAGCAGUGGGGAAUGUUGCACAAUGGGCGCAAGCCUGAUGCAGCGACGCCGCGUGAGGGAUGGAGGCCUUCGGGUUGUGAACCUCUUUCGCCAGUGAAGAAGGUCCUGCUCUUUGUGGUGGGGUUGACGGUAGCUGGGUUAAUGAAGCGCCGGCUAACUACGUG
rnacentral:rRNA from 1 species